AGUGAACGCUGGCGGUAGGCCUAACACAUGCAAGUCGAACGGCAGCACAGUAAGAGCUUGCUCUUACGGGUGGCGAGUGGCGGACGGGUGAGGAAUACAUCGGAAUCUACUUUUUCGUGGGGGAUAACGUAGGGAAACUUACGCUAAUACCGCAUACGACCUACGGGUGAAAGCAGGGGAUCUUCGGACCUUGCGCGAUUGAAUGAGCCGAUGUCGGAUUAGCUAGUUGGCGGGGUAAAGGCCCACCAAGGCGACGAUCCGUAGCUGGUCUGAGAGGAUGAUCAGCCACACUGGGACUGAGACCCGGUCCAGAGUCCUACGGGAGGCAGCAGUGGGGAAUAUUGGACAAUGGGCGCAAGCCUGAUCCAGCCAUACCGCGUGGGUGAAGAAGGCCUUCGGGUUGUAAAGCCCUUUUGUUGGGAAAGAAAAGCAGCAGGUUAAUACCCCGCUGUUCUGACGGUACCCAAAGAAUAAGCACCGGCUAACUUCGUG
rnacentral:rRNA from 1 species